rnacentral:rRNA from 1 species
UACAGAGGGUGCGAGCGUUGUCCGGAAUCACUGGGCGUAAAGGGCGCGUAGGCGGACAGUUAAGUCAGAGGUGAAAGCCCAGGGCUCAACCCUGGAAUAGCCUUUGAUACUGGCUGUCUUGAGUGCGGGAGAGGUGUGUGGAACUCCGAGUGUAGAGGUGAAAUUCGUAGAUAUUCGGAAGAACACCAGUGGCGAAGGCGACACACUGGCCCGUAACUGACGCUGAGGCGCGAAAGCGUGGGGAGCAAACAGG